rnacentral:lncRNA from 10 species
UUAAGGAAUUAGUUGGCAUACCUAAUAGAUCUCUAGAGAAAAUUUGACUCUUGAUGUAAGUAUAUCUUGAGGAUAGGACUGAUGUAUGGUUAGAAAUCUUCAUAAAAUUAUUUUAAAUCUUUCACUAGUUCCUUACUAAACCUCUACUUAUUUGCUUAUUGUAUCUUUUUCAAGGCAAAGGAAUUGGUUCUUGUUUUUCUUCCCCUGCCUGGAGCCUGAGGCAGCUCGUUUCAAUUUAUGCUCUGGCUCCCCAGGAUAGCUGAGAAACUUCACUGUCCAAUCCUACAGGGAGAAAAAGUGACACUGAGCAUAAUCAACACUGUCUCUAACCAGGAUGCUUAUGAUAUGGUAGUCUUUACGUUAGCUUUGCUUUGUUCCCACUCUUCUCUCCUUUCUUCCAUACAUCUCCUCAUAACUCUAUUUAUAAAUGGCCUUCGCAAAACCAAAUUAACACAGUAAAAAGCUUAACCAUGUGGUGCCCAGCACAAUAAGAUCUGGAAGGUCUGUCGUUAUUGGAUGCCGAGGAUGUAUUUCCAUGUCCUGUGCCUCAUCAGCAGCUUCAACUCUGGAGAGAUAACAGUGGGGUUGAUGUAGAAAUCUUGCCUAAAUGCUCCCUACCAUGAAUGACCACAUGUUCCAGCAUGGUAUGCCAAGGAAGUGAAGUCUGAAAGCCCUGCUUGGAGAAAACAUGUAGCUUCUACUUUCAAUCUUGGAAUCCAGUCUCCACAAAAAGAAGUCCAGGCUAGCCUGCGGAGACAGAGAACAUGUGGAGAGAAAGAUCAUAGUGAAUGAACUACCAUAUGGAGAGUGAAGCCACAUGGAAGAGAACCACAUUGCCCCAGUUUGACAGUAACAGCAAAGCUCCAUUUAUUGAGAAUGAAGCAAUCUUUGAUCUCUUAGCCCUAAUCAAGUCACCCCAGCUGACAUCACAUGGAGUAGAGACAAGCCAUCCCCACUGAGCCCCAAAUAUCCAACCAACAAAACUCACUGAAUGGAUCCCCAGUGUCUAACUGUGUAAAACAGCUGAGACGUCACUGCUUUCCAAUCUCUUGAAGGACAAGUGCUCAUCUUGGCUCACCUUGGAACCCACUUCAGAACCCAGGGGAAGUGGCUACCUGCAAGAUGAGGAGACAGGAGAAGCAGCAGAAGAAAGGAACCAGAUUUCCUGCUUUCUUCUAUAGUGAAGAGAAUUGAACCCAGAGUAUCACUUGCAUAAGGAAACAAGACUGUUGGCUGCUCAUGCUUUCAUUGCAUUGAUUAGCUACUUCCUCAAUAUGGAGCCACCCUUGACAAAUGCAGCCAGAAUUUGGCAAAAACAACAAAAAAAGGAUAACUGCUCAACAGAAACAACAGAAGCCAGAAAGUGGUAGAAUGAAAUAUUCUACAUACUGAAAGAAAAUUACUGUCAACAAAGAAUAUCCAGCAACUUCAAAAGGAAGGCAAAAAAAUAACAUUCUCACUUAAACAAAGGCUGAGAGAAAUAAAUGCUGUGAGACCUGUCUUACAAGAUGCUAAUAGAAGUAUCUCUGGCUGAAAAGAAAUGACACCAGAUGGUAACUAGAUUCCAUAGGGAGAAAUGAAGGCCAGAAAUGGUAAAAAUGUGAGGAAAUAUAAAAGAGUGCAUAAAAUAUUUUCUCUUUUCUUCUUCAAUUUUCUUUAAAGACAUAAUAUUUUAUAAAGCAAUAAUUAUAAUAGUUAACACUCUAUUUGGGGUUUAUAACAUACUUACAUAUAUCUGAAAAUAGAUGGUGAAUAGAGCAAUAUUAGAGGAAAUGUGCUAUAUGUAAUGGAAUUAAGUUGUUAUAUUUAAUUGAAAUUAAGCCACUUGGGUAGAACAUGAUAAGUUAAAAUUCAUAUUGUAAUCUCUAGGGCAAUUACCAAAAAAUAACUCAAAAAUAUAUUUUAAAAAUCAAAAGAAAAAUUAAAAUAGGAUGCUAAGAAUAUUUGUCAACACAAAAGGUGGAACAGAGAAACAAAAAUGACAAGAGACAAAGAAAACAAACAAGAGAUAGACAAAACUCCAAACAGGUGAGUAAAUAUAUUAAAUAUUAAUGGUCUAAACACUCUAAUCCAAAGGUAGAGAUUAUCAGAUUGGAUCAAAAAAGCAUUAUCCACAUAUGUCCCAUUUACAAGAGAAACAGUUCAGAUUCGAAGAUACAGACAGAUUGAAUGUAAAAGAAUAGCAAAAUAUAUACUAUGUAAACUUUACAAUUUAAGUAUACUUAUUAACGAGCUGGAAUGGCAAAAAUAUAUGUUUGAGAGAAGAAAUAUUACUACAGGUUUAUCACCCCAAUCUGAAAAUAUAAAAUUUGAAAUGCUCUAAAAUUUAAAACAUUUUGAGUGCCAACAUGAUGCCACAAGUGGAAAAUUUUACACGUGAGUACUUAACAUAACCUUUUUGUACAAAAUUAUCUUAAAAUUACAUGAAGUUACCUUCAGGCUAUGUGUAUAAGGUAUAUAUGAAACACAAAUAAAUUUAAAUGAAUUUUGUGUUGAGAUUUGGGUCACAUCCUCAAGAUAUCUCAUUAUACAUGCAAUUAUUCCAAAUCUGAAAAAUCUGAAAUCUGAAACAACUUCUGGUGCCGUGCAUUUCAAAUAAGGAAUAAUCAAUCUGCAGAAAUAAAAAGGAACAUUUCAUAAUAACAAAAGGGUCAAUAUAUCAGGUACAUACAGUAAGUCCUCAACAUCAUUGACAGGUUUUUGGAAACUAUGACUUUGAGCAAAAUGACAUGUAACAAACCAGUUUUUUUUAUCAAUGUUACAAAGAAACAAUGUUGAAUAAAACAACAUAAUUUGGAGGACCUGCUGUACAUAAUUUCAUUUAAAAUUACAAUUUCCAAGAACAUAUGGACAACUUUAAGUGAAGAUUUAUUGUGCAAUACUUAUAAAUGUAUAUGCACCUUAAAAGGAGCACCAUAAUACAUGUAGCAAAACAAAACCCUAAAGACAAAUAGAUAUUUCAACAAUUGCUGUUAGAGACAUCAAUAUCUCCUUCUCAAUAAUCGGUAUAACAACAACUUGGAAAAUCAUCAUGGAUGAAGACUUGAAUAAUAUCAGUCAACUUGACUUAACUGAUAUUUACAAAACACUCCACCCAAAAACAGCAAAAUAAUCUUUCUUUUAAAUACACAUAGAACAUUCUCCAGGGUAGACCAAAUACUAUAGGACAUAAAACAAGUCUUAAUAUAUUUAAAAGUAUUACAAAUCAUUUAAUGUAUGAGUUACUAUAAAAAUGGAAUACAAUUAGGAAGCGACAACAAAAAUUACAUAGAAAAAUCCCCAAAUAUUUGGAAAUUAACAGAGAGUUAAAAGAAGAAAUCACAAGGGAAAUUAGAAAAUAAUUUGAACUGAAUGAAGAAAAAACAACAUAUUACAACAUAUCAAAAGUAACAAGAUGGAGGUAAAUCAAUGCUCAGAGAGAAAUGUAUAGCUUUAAUUACCUAUUUUAGAAAAGAAGAAAUUAUAACUCAAUCAUUUAUACUUCCUCUUUGAGAAACUAGAAAAAGAAGAACAAAUUAAAUACAAAAAUAAGCAGAAGGGAGAGAAUAAUAAAAAGCAGAGCAGAAAGCAACAAAAUAGAGAAAAACAAUAGAGAAAACCGAUGAAAUCAAAAGUUGGUUCUCUUAAAAGAUCAUAAUAUUGUAAAAUCUUUAGCUAGACUGGCCGAGAGAGAGACAGAAAGAUAAACCACAAAUCAUCAAAAUUGGGAAUAAAAGAAGGGACACUGAUACUGACUUUACAGAAAUUGAAAUAUAAGGGACUAUUAUGAACAACUCAAUACCAACAGAUUAAACAACUUUGAUAAAAUGAACAAUGCCAUAGAAAGACAUUAACCCCAAAACUGACUAAAGAAGAAACAGAUAAUAUACAUGUACCCAUAACAAAUAAGAAAUAGAAUUGGUAAUUAAAAGUUUUUCCACAAAGAAAAGCCAAGACCCAGGUGAUUUCGACCAUGAAUUCCAUCAAAUACUUAAAGAGAGUAUAUUAUCAAUGCUACACAAACACUUUUCAAAAAUAUGGAGGGAUGAACACGUCACAACUCAUUUUUUAAGCCAGAAAUAUCUGAUAGUGAAGCCAGAAAAAAAAAUCACAAGAAAGCAGCAGAUAAAUAUCUUUCAAGAACAUAGAUGCAGAGGAAUACCAUGAGAAAAUGUUAGCAAACCGGACCCAACAGCAUAUUCAAAGGAUAGCUAGUAAGCACACAUAAAGAUAGUCAACACUGUAAGCCAUUAUGAGAAUGCAAAUUAAAACCAUAAUGAGAUAUCACUAUAUACCUACUAGAAUAGCUAUAAUUAAUGUAUCAAAGUUACUGUCAAUAUCAAGUGUUAACAAAGAUAUGGAGAAACUAGAAGCCUCACACAUUGCAGGUAGAACAUAUAAUAGCACAGACAAUUGGAAAAACAGUCCAGCAAUUUCUGAGAAAGUCAAGUAUAAACAUACUAUUUCAAUCAGCAAUUCCACUCCUAGGUAUCUAUCCAAGAGAAAUGAAAA